AGUGGUUUAUUAACCCGGCCUGGUUCCUCACAGACUUCUAGGCCACACAGCGCAACAGUAGGAAACGCUUCUAACGUCCACCAUUACACCUUCAAAAGACAUCUGUCCGACUCCAUGACGCUCACCAACAAAGUUUUUAUUUCGUCCCAUACGACAGCCAAAUGUUCGGCUGCUGAGAUUGAGAG